AGUGAACGCUGGCGGUAGGCCUAACACAUGCAAGUCGAACGGCAGCACAGUAAGAGCUUGCUCUUACGGGUGGCGAGUGGCGGACGGGUGAGGAAUACAUCGGAAUCUACUUUUUCGUGGGGGAUAACGUAGGGAAACUUACGCUAAUACCGCAUACGACCUACGGGCGAAAGCAGGGGAUCUUCGGACCUUGCGCGAUUGAAUGAGCCGAUGUCGGAUUAGCUAGUUGGCGGGGUAAAGGCCCACCAAGGCGACGAUCCGUAGCUGGUCUGAGAGGAUGAACAGCCACACUGGAACUGAGACACGGUCCAGACUCCUACGGGAGGCAGCAGUGGGGAAUAUUGGACAAUGGGCGAAAGCCUGAUCCAGCCAUACCGCGUGGGUGAAGAAGGCCUUCGGGUUGUAAAGCCCUUUUGUUGGGAAAGAAAAGCAGCAGGUUAAUACCCCGCUGUUCUGACGGUACCCAAAGAAUAAGCACCGGCUAACUUCGUG
rnacentral:rRNA from 1 species